ensembl:lncRNA
GGAACACAAACGAAGAAUGACUUGGCAAAAAGUGUCUGCAAUCAUUUUGCUUCAUGCUUCACAAUCCACUCGGAGCAGAUUAUUGUAACAACUGGCUCCACUGGGUACGACCAUGAAGGAAAUCCUCCGCCUUCUCCACCGCCUCGACACCACCAGCGAGGUUCUCAAUACUAGAGGUCGUCACAGUGAGCCAGUCCCCCAACCUACCCAGCCGUCCACCCAGGUCAGCGAUGCCCGACUGUCCCUUCCGGAGAAGUAUUAACGGCACUCCAUUGAAAUGCCGUUGCUUCCUACUCCAGCGCUCCCUCUAUUUCGCCUAUCAGAUGGGAGCCCCCACCACCGAGAGGUCCAAGGUUACCACGGUCAUUUCUCUGCUGACCAGACUAGUGUUGGAGUGGGCUACGGCAUCUGGGAGAGAGGAGAGGAGGAGCUGGGUUCCCAUGAGAGGUUCAUGGCUCCGUUCAGGUGGUCUUCAACCAUCCUCCAGAGGGCAGAAGGAGGUGAGUGACUUUCACAACUCCAGCAGGAUGCCCAGAGUACCGCCUCACCUUUUGGACUGUGGCGGCCUCCAGCUGGUAGAAGGAGCUGGCGCUCUGUACUCUAUUCUGUGGUGGACUGCGCAAAGAGGUCCAGAUGGAGUUGGCAUGUCAGACAAAGGACAAAAUAUCCUUGGACGCUCUCAUCGUGAUGGCCAUCCGUCUGGAAAACCUUCUUCGGGAGCUCCGGUGUCCACCUCGUCACUCACCUCCCUCCUUUGGCUGUCCUGAGGCAGAGCCUGAAAUCAUGGAGGUUGGGGCCACACACUUCUUCACGUCAAAGCGGGGUCGCCUUAGACAGCUGAGACUCUGUCCCUAUUGCGGCCAGGAGGUGUCCGGUGCAUUCCAACCUGGGGUCCACGCCUACCCCGUGACCUUCCGUCUCCCUUGGCUCCAACUUAAUAACCGCAAAGGUCAAAGGUGACAAUCACUGCC